rnacentral:lncRNA from 1 species
AAAAAUCCUAAUGCUCUGUGAAAAUACCUGUUUUCCGAAGUGGAGAGAGGCUGGAGGCUCUGGAAAGUAGCAAAGCAGUGCCAGCUACUGAGCUGAAUUCCAUUUGCUCCUUCCACUGUUCUCCCCCUGCUGGAAUAGAAGUAUUCAUGACAGGCUGUCCUCAGCAAAAUUACUAUGUUGUCCUUGUACUGAUCUGAGCGCCAGGUAUGUGUUAGGUAAUCAGGAAGUAUUUGAUAAAUUGAGUCCUCAUUACUCAGACCUUAUGAAACAUAUCACUAUCUGUGCAGAUGGAUAUUGAAGAUCCUCAGAGCUCUAAGACUUCAUCAGUACACUGGCAGGAAC